CUCAACAGAAAUAGGGUAAUGAAAGGGUUUAAAGCACCAUGAUGUGUAUAACCCUUUUGAUAUUAACCCACCUGAAACUGCCUCUGACUCUGUAGUACAAAUGCCUUGUUUUCAUAAGUUUUGAAUUAAAAUCUUCCACCAAAUCUUAGUCACAAUUUACGUUCCUA